rnacentral:rRNA from 1 species
AUGGAUCUCCCCGAAGAGAUGCUCGCCGACAUCCUGCGCCGCGUCCCGGCGCGCCACCUCGCCGCGUGCAGGCGCGUCUGUGGGUACUGGCGCGCCACCAUCGACGCCGGCAGGCUGGUCCUCCCGCACCUCCUGCCGGGCGCGCCGAGCGGCGCCUUCGUCAACAUGCCCGAGGCCUCGCGCGGCACCUACUUCUUCGCGCGCGGGGGGCCCACCGGCGGCGUCGACACCCGACUCGCCGAUGCGCCGACCAGGUGGUGCACCGCCUUCUUAGACCACUGCAACGGGGUCCUCAUGUGCGAGGCCAGCGAGGGCACGCGCUUCGUCUACAACCCGGCCACGCGGAGGUCGGCGGUGCUGCCGCCCGCGCCGCGCGCCGAGCCCUGGGGCGUCGCCUCCGCCGCGUACCUCGUGUUCGACCCCUUCGUGUCUCUCCACCACGAGGUGCUCCUGCUCCCCGAGCUGCCCGGCGAGCCCCAGCCCCCCGAACCCACCGACCCGCCGCCGCUGCCGCCGUUCAACGUUGCGCGGCUCUUCUUCGCGGACGCCGAGUCGUCGCCGCCGCCUCAGAUCGUCACCGACGAGGAGGACUGGUUGUCCUCGGACUCGGAAGACGAACCGCGGAAGCUUGCGAGGCCCCGUCAGCGUGAGCACAUCGAGGCGAAGGACACCUUGGGGCUUAUGGAAUGGCCGCCGUCGCCGUACGUGGUGCAGGUGUUCUCGUCCGAGACCGGCCGGUGGGACGACAGGGCGUUCUUCCGGGAAGGCGCCGCCGCCGGGACGGUGGCCGACAUGUGGUCGGAUCCACUGUCAUCCAGCUACGUUAUGGGAUUUUAUCUACCCGAUUGCGGGCCGCGCCGCCGCGACGCCGUCUACUGGCGGCAAUCGCUCUACGUCCAUUGCCGCGGCGGUUUCAUCAUCAGGUUGUCGCUGCUGACGGGGAAGUAUGUGGUGAUCAAAACCCCAGGAGUCACCAAAGUCGCCGAGCGUCCGUGGGCUAUGCCGCGCCUGAGCAAGUCUCGGAAGGGGGUUUACUGCACCAUCAUCGACAUGCUAAAGCUCCAGGUAUGGGUACUGACCGAAGAAGAAUCACCGACGGCGACGCCAGUGUGGGAGAUGGCACAUCAGGCCGACCUCGAGCCCUCCAUCAGGCAACUGAUGUGCAAAAGCCUCCAAAACACUGAGAAGUCUUGGAUCCUGGACGAUCCCAGGAGAUCGAAAUCAUCUGCGGAGCAGAGAUGCCGCGAAUGGGACUCUGACAACGACGACGAUGAUGGCGCCUAUGUUGAGGAAGAAGAAGGGGGUGGCGCCUUUGGUUGGCUGGAUUUCUUGGGGUACCAUCCUCAUAAGGAGAUUGUGUUGUUGGGCCACCAGUACAAGCGUUGUGCUUAUGCCUACUACCUGAGCACCUCCAAGCUUGAGUACCUUGGUGAUCUUUGUCCGGUACCAGAUGAUUAUUUUCCCGCUUGUGUGCAGGAGUCGUACGUGUAUACUCCGUGCAGGAUCGACCUGCUGUCUGAUGAGAAUGGUGUCUCUGUUGAUUUGAGUAAAUGGGUUUCAUAA